CCUACGGGUGGCUGCAGUGGGGAAUAUUGGACAAUGGGGGGAACCCUGAUCCAGCCAUGCCGCGUGUGUGAAGAAGGCCCUCGGGUUGUAAAGCACUUUCAGUGAGGAAGAACGCCUGGUGGUUAAUACCCAUCAGGAAAGACAUCACUCACAGAAGAAGCACCGGCUAACUCCGUGCCAGCAGCCGCGGUAAUACGGAGGGGGCGAGCGUUAAUCGGAAUUACUGGGCGUAAAGCGCGCGUAGGUGGCUUGAUAAGCCGGUUGUGAAAGCCCCGGGCUCAACCUGGGAACGGCAUCCGGAACUGUCAAGCUAGGGUGCAGGAGAGGAAGGUAGAAUUCCCGGGGUAGCGGGGAAAUGGGUAGAGUUCGGGAGGAAUACAAGUGGCGAAGGCGGCCUUCUGGACUGACACUGACACUGAGGUGCGAAAGCGUGGGUAGCAAACAGGAUUAGAUACCUGGUAGUC
rnacentral:rRNA from 1 species